UUCCCAGGCUGAUGGAGCAAGUGAUGAAAUGGGUUACCAACUGUAGUUCCUCCCGUCAGCGCGGAAUGCUGCAGGGAAUGUAUUCAGACAUGCCCAGAGAAGUCUGCCCAAGGUCAAAUUAAUACCUUGGAGGU
rnacentral:lncRNA from 1 species